CUAUUAUACAGGUAUGUACGUUCUAGCUUAGUGUCUAUUAUACAGGUAUGUACGAUCUAGCUUUGUGUCUAUUAUACAGGUAUGUACGUUCUAGCUUUGUGUCUAUUAUACAGGUAUGUACGUCCUAGCUUUGUGUCUAUUAUACAGGUAUGUACGUUCUAGCGUUAUGCCUAUUAUACAGGUAUGUACGAUCUAGCGUUAUGACUAUUAUACAGGUAUGUACGUUCUAGCGUUAUGUCUAUUAUACAGGUAUGUACGUUCUAGCGUUAUGACUAUUAUACAGGCAUGUACGUUCAAGCUUUAUGUCAUUUGGUAGAUGUAUUAGCAUUUGAUUGCAUAAUUCCAAGUGUAUCUUUCAAUGAUUAAAUCAAUAAAAGUUG